UGGGGAAUUUUGGACAAUGGGGGAAACCCUGAUCCAGCCAUCCCGCGUGUGCGAUGAAGGCCUUCGGGUUGUAAAGCACUUUUGGCAGGAAAGAAACGUCGCGGGUUAAUACCCCGCGAAACUGACGGUACCUGCAGAAUAAGCACCGGCUAACUACGUGCCAGCAGCCGCGGUAAUACGUAGGGUGCAAGCGUUAAUCGGAAUUACUGGGCGUAAAGCGUGCGCAGGCGGUUCGGAAAGAAAGAUGUGAAAUCCCAGAGCUUAACUUUGGAACUGCAUUUUUAACUACCGGGCUAGAGUGUGUCAGAGGGAGGUGGAAUUCCGCGUGUAGCAGUGAAAUGCGUAGAUAUGCGGAGGAACACCGAUGGCGAAGGCAGCCUCCUGGGAUAACACUGACGCUCAUGCACGAAAGCGUGGGGAGCAAACAGGAUUAGAUACCCUGGUAGUCCACGCCCUAAACGAUGUCAACUAGCUGUUGGGGGCCUUCGGGCCUUGGUAGCGCAGCUAACGCGUGAAGUUGACCGCCUGGGGGAGUACGGUCGCAAGAUUAAAACUCAAAUGAAUUGACGGGGGUCAUAGCUG
rnacentral:rRNA from 1 species